rnacentral:lncRNA from 1 species
UCCGAGUUUGCUGCAGAGCCGCCCCCUCCCGGCGGGAGCGCUGACGUCACGGAAAAGCCCCGUCGCGGGGCUGCCGGGCGCGCUAUAAACGGCGGCGGGCCGCGGAGGCUUCAGGAGGCGGCACUGCCAGCGGACAUCACACAGCCUUAGACUGCGGAACCCGCAUCGGCAGGCGGCAAGCAUUGCAGCAGGCAGCAGGCAUUGUCCGGACCGACGGCAAACGCCCACCCAGCGCCCAGUACAGCCAAGAUCCCACAAUGACUCUGAAUAACGUCACCAUGCGCCAAGGCACUGUGGGCAUGACAGAAGUUAGUACCAGGAGUGGGAUAUUGCUGUCAUAGGCCUGAUCAUGCUUUUGU